rnacentral:rRNA from 1 species
GACGUAGGGCGCGAGCGUUGUCCGGAUUUAUUGGGCGUAAAGAGCUCGUAGGCGGCUCGUUGCGUCAACCGUGAAAACCCGGGGCUUAACUUCGGGCUUGCGGUUGAUACGGGCGGGCUGGAGUUCGGUAGGGGAGACUGGAAUUCCUGGUGUAGCGGUGAAAUGCGCAGAUAUCAGGAGGAACACCGGUGGCGAAGGCGGUCUGCUGGGCAGUUGCUGACACUGAGGCGCGACAGCGUGGGGAGCAAACAGG